UGAAUUUUAAUGAAGAGUUUGGUUGUAGCUGGCCCAUUCAUUUGGGCAUGUGCACACCUUCCUCUUUCAUCCCACACACACCUGUGAACCUGUGAGACAGAGAUGGGGAAUUUACUUGCUGCUUUUGUGAAUAUCAAAGGCAAUAGGUUAUUGGACCCCCCCUCUGUCUACUCAAUUAAUAUAAACUCAAUUUAUUUUUAAAACGAAUGUAAUGGAUGUAACACAUCUCAUAC
rnacentral:misc_RNA from 1 species